rnacentral:sRNA from 1 species
UUACAGACAAUGCAGAUAAAAUGGUGCAUUUGUCUCAAUAGAAAGUUAGAGGUGAGU